CCUACGGGUGGCUGCAGUGGGGAAUAUUGGACAAUGGGCGAAAGCCUGAUCCAGCCAUGCCGCGUGUGUGAAGAAGGCCUUCGGGUUGUAAAGCACUUUCAGUGGGGAAGAAAGCCUUGGGGCUAAUACCCUCGAGGAAGGACAUCACCCACAGAAGAAGCACCGGCUAACUCCGUGCCAGCAGCCGCGGUAAUACGGAGGGUGCGAGCGUUAAUCGGAAUUACUGGGCGUAAAGCGCGCGUAGGCGGUCUGAUAAGCCGGUUUGGAAAGCCCCGGGCUCAACCUGGGAACGGCAUCCGGAACUGUCAGGCUAGAGUGCAGGAGAGGAAGGUAGAAUUCCCGGUGUAGCGGUGAAAUGCGUAGAGAUCGGGAGGAAUACCAGUGGCGAAGGCGGCCUUCUGGACUGACACUGACGCUGAGGUGCGAAAGCGUGGGUAGCAAACAGGAUUAGAUACCCCGAGUAGUC
rnacentral:rRNA from 1 species